rnacentral:rRNA from 1 species
AGAGUUUGAUCCUGGCUCAGGAUGAACGCUGGCGGCGUGCCUAACACAUGCAAGUCGAACGGGAACCCUUGGAUUCGUCUGAGGGGGUGAGUGGCAAACGGGUGAGUAACACGUAGGUGACCUGCCCCGAAGAGGAGAAUAACCAUCGGAAACGGUGGCUAAUACUCCAUGUGCUCGAUGGUUCAUUCUGUCGAGGAAAGCUCCGGCGCUUCGGGAGGGGCCUGCGGCCCAUUAGGUAGUUGGUAGGGUAAGCCUACACCAGACGACGGGUAGGGGGGAGGAGGCGGUCCCCCCACUGGCACUGAGACACGGCCCAAACUCCUACGGGAGGCAGCAGUGAGGAAUUGAUAAUGGAUGAAGUCUGAGGACCAUCGCCCCGUUUCGAUGAAGGCCUUCGGGUUGUAAAGCCUUUUCUGGGAAAGAUGAACGAGUUAACCGAAUUAAUCAAUCACGUCUAAGUACGUGCCGACAACCGCCAUGAUACACCUGUGCCCACUGCUAGAAGGAUUUACUGGGUUUCGCUUCAGUGCUACGGGCUUGGCAAAUCCAAUGAAGGAUCUUCGGGUUGCCUCGAAUUAGACCAUACGAUCCGGUGCUAGUGCGGGUCCCCGUCAAUUCCUUUGAGUUUAAGUCUUGCGGCCGUAGUCCCCAGGCGGGAUACUGAUGACGAUAGCCACCAACACCUAGUAUCACCGUUUACGGCGUGCACUACCGGGGUAUCUAAUCCCGUUCGCUACCCACGCUUUCGCGUCUCAGCGUCAGGUGCGGGCCAGGACGCCGCCUUCGCCACUGGUGUUCCUCCCGAUUCUCCACACUACGCCGGGAAUUCCACGUCCCUCUCCCGACUCAAGUCCUGAGUAUCGUGUGGUUUAAUUCGAGGCAACGCGAAGAACCUUACCUGGGUUUGACAUGCACGUAGUAGUGAAGCGAAAGCGGAUCGAUCCUUCGGGAAGCGUGCACAGGUGCUGCAUGGCUGUCGUCAGCUCGUGCCGUGAGGUGUUCGGUUAAGUCCGGUAACGAGCGCAACCCUCGCUGUUAGUUACAUGUGGGUGGGAAGUCUAACGGGACUGCCGGUUUAAUGCCGGAGGAAGGUGGGGAUGACGUCAAGUCAGCAUGGCCUUUAUGUCCAGGGCUACACACACGCUACAAUGGCCGGUACAAUGGGUUGCCAAACCGCGAGGUGGAGCUAAUCCUCCAAAGCCGGUCUCAGUUCGGAUUGUAGGCUGCAACUCGCCUGCAUGAACGUGGAGUUGCUAGUAACCGCAGGUCAGCCACACAGCGGUGAAUACGUUCCCGGGCCUUGUACACACCGCCCGUCACGUCAUGGGAGCCGGUAACACCUGAAGCCGGUGGGCUAACCGUAAGGAGGCAGCUGUCGAAGGUGGGACUGGUGACUGGGACGAAGUCGUAACAAGGUAGCCGUA